ACGGUGGACAGGCCCAUGCUCACGAGGUCUUUAUUGGAAUAAAUAACAGCAUACUGUGACGCCACGUGGCAUUGUCCUAACCGCAUCCCUGGCGGAAGAAGUGUUUGCCCGGUGUUGCAGUGAGCUCCUGAAAAGCGCUUGCUUCCUGCACUCAGCCAGGUGGGCCUGACAAACAGCAUGGCCAGGGUUUUCGUGGCUUUUAUAUAACAUCCAGAAAUCCAAAGUAAACAUUGCUUAAAACAAUUAAGAAGACAGUAAAAUACUGGCACACAAAACAGGGGGAAAGGAUUCAGUUGCUUUAAAAUAAAAUUGCUCUUUGUCACCAAGACAAUUAGGACACCACGGCCCAGCGGGACUCUGGGCUCGGUGCUUGCAUAACACUGUGUGGGCGUCAAAGGGGAACUGAAGCUGCGGGAGGCUCCCCUAGCUGGUGUGGGUUGAGAGACACGUCACAUGGAGAAGGAGAAUCAGCAAAUACCUUCCUGCCCUUGUCCGAGCGUCCACUUGGGCCUUGCAGGCCUGAGACCCCUUUGUGCUGGGACGUUUGUCCCCAUGGGUGGACAUACUUGGCCUUGCUUUCACUCAGUUCCUAUGGACCAGGGUUCCUCUUCAAAGAACCAUUCACUGAAAACGUGGUGCCGGGAGGAGGAAGGGUCCCAGAAUUUCUCUGAACUAAGAACCAAGAGCAGCAGCAGACGGGGCAUCUCACACCCAAGCCUCAUGUCCCAGCAGCCAUUCAUCCCAAGCCUAUAGGAAUCGAGUUCACCCUGAAUUCUGCCUUGGAACUGGCCCCUUGCUGCAUCUGUCCAGGCCAUGCUAUGAAUUCAGACUCAAACUGAUGGUGAAUGGAGAAAAAUGAGGAGUCGAGCCUAAUGGGGCCCUUCCCAGGUAUGCAAAAGGCACACCUACACCUUUGAACCAAUUGGAAAAGAAUGUGGACAAAAGAUCACAUCCUUUGCUGGAAACAUCGCCUUUAAGGGUCCCUGUUGUGAAACACAAGUGCCCAUGUAGCUUCCCCACAGAUCUUAUGAUUCCUUUUACUGUUCGACUUGAAACCCACAAGAGUGUGACGUGGGCAUGAGGAUAGGCAUGGGUUUACUGGUUUACUAGAUGGGGGCCGCCAGGACCUCCCUGAGAAGCUGAAGCCCCCUCCCACAGUAACCGUCCUCUCCCCUCUGAUGACACAGAAUGGGCCAGGGCUGCUCAUUUUGGCUGAAAAUCACAGCUCUGUUCUUUUCUUUUUCUUUUUUCUUUCUUUUUUUUUUUUGAGACAGAGUCUCACUCUGUUGCUCAGGCUGGAGUGCAGUGGCAUGAUCUCAGCUCACUGCAACUUCCACCUCCUGGGUUCAUGCAAUUCUCCUGCCUCAGCCUCCCGAAUAGCUGGGAUUACAGGCAUACAUACCAUGCAUGGCUAAUUUUUGUAUUUUUAGUAGACACGGGGAGAAGCCGGCAUCUACAAGCCAAGGCGAAAGGCCUGAGGAUGUAAUUCUCUGAUGUCUGAGCCACUCCCCUGUGGCACUUUACUACACAGUGCCAGUGAACCAAUGCACCCCCCUCAUUUUAAAGUUUCCAAAGAUGCAUUCAUUCCCAAAAAGGGCCUCUGAAGGGGAAAGCUGUGACCCAAGCUGUCUCAAGCAGCACAAUUAGAGCCAUCUCCAGACCCAGCCCCUCAACCACAGCAAGAAAUUAAGAAACGUCCCCAGCAGACAGCUCCUUUCAAGGACUGUGGGAGCUGGGCCAUCCUGAGUCUUGGAUGUUUGUGCAAAACCUACAUUAAAACGAGUGACCAAGAAGUGAUAGGAAUGUGGGUGGAGGACACCCAUGUCACAUCUAAGCUUCUGGGACUUUAAAGUUUUUCAAACUGCAAAACCCUUUUAUUUUUAAUAAAAGGCCUCACUUCCAAGGAGAGCC
rnacentral:lncRNA from 1 species